CCUAAAAACACAACUGGAAUGUAUCUCUAUACUCUAUCAAUGCUGGGCUAUUUGCAAUCGGCGAAGAUUUCAUCAACUUUUAGAGACAAACAUAGCGAUUCUUCUGAUGUGAAUCUCACGGCAUUGAAACUGAACAUACGAUAACCCAUAGGAACCAACAGCAUAGGCUCUCACGAUACACAAUGAACAAAAAGAAGACCGUGUCCUUCCAAAACUGAAGCUUUAUGGCGGUGAAUCGGCUAAUACAAAAUCCGCCAUAUUUCUCACUCUUGUUGUUUUGAUAGUGAAGGUCAAGCCACAGAGUAUACAGAGGCGGAACUCGCGGCGAUUCCUUUGUUCUUUGUGUCCCCGUGCAACGUCAUUUCCACGCGCCACGCAAAUUGCUCUGGCAAGUGUCAUUCGUCGUGUUUUCAGUCAAAAGCAUAGGAAAAACACCGUUCGAAAGUAGAAAAAUAGAUAUUUUUGCGAAGUUGCUCAACCGAUCUUCAUUUUGGAACUCAAAUUUGAAAGAUAAAUGGUAAGUGGUUAUUUUUAUGUAAAAAUAUAUACGUUUAUAGGCUAAAUACAAAGAAAAAAUAGUAUAAUACAAAUUACAAUCUCGGUGCUUGUGAUGUUCUUGCCAAGAAGCAGAUUCCCUCGCAGAUUCCCAUUUCGCUAAAUUAAUGCGGGCCAAACGUAUUGCUUUCCUGUCUUUUACAUUAAUAAGAAAGCAUAGGUGCUGAUUUGAAACACGUCCAUCAGGUUCCAUGCAUGUAGCUUUGCGAUUUGUGAGCAAAAAUUAAAAGUUAAACUACCUAUGUUUUUAAUACUUUCUGUGCAACUCAAAACCACAUUCACAAAUAUAUUCUCCAGCAAAGAAACGUUUCUUUACGGAUUGUUAAUCCGCAUUUGAAGGCAUGCUUAUGCCUUCAAAGGUCAGAGGUCUUUCACAUGCAGAAUAGCAGAGACUACUGUCAUUGACAUCCUUUGUCACAAAAUUAUGAUGGCAUAUUGGACAGCUAUGUUGGAUAAGGCACUUCCUUAAUAAAUAGCCUGACACAUAAGUUCAUGCAGACUAAGUUUUGUUCAUUUGUUUUGUAGUCGGUAUCUUCAACUGCUUGGAUUAGUGGUGGGCUUGUCUGAUCAUUUCCUGCAGAUAAAUCAGAUUGGCUAGAGUGAAAUGCAAUCAAAUAGUGUAAAUACUACAACAGUGAAAUGUAAAUACAACAGUGUAAUUGGGG